rnacentral:lncRNA from 1 species
GAGAAAGAAAUCCUGACUUCUUUGAGCUUGAAAGCUGUUACUCUGUUACCUACCUGCGGUCUUCCUGUGCUGAAGGAGCAGACCUUUGUUGAGGCAGCUUCUAAAAUGUUCUGACAAAGAUAUGGAUUGGCAGCAGUGACAGUUUGGAAUCCAAGCGGCGCACUGAGCAGAAGGCACAGCUGCAUACAGCAGACUCAGGACAUUUCACUUUCCAUUUCUUGCUGGCUGCAGCCCUGCAGGGCGUGGUAGGCUGUGUGCUGCUGCUGAGCAUUCAGAGGAGCAUUCACUCACCAACAGGAGUGUCAGUGCCUGAUUACGGUGCAUGCAAAGAAACCAUCUGCGAUCUGAGGCCAGCAGUGUGUGUGAAAGAUGGCUCGAUAUUCCCUUCUGCUUGAAGCUGGCUGAGGACACCUGGGCAGAUGAGAGCAAGUGGAGCACAGAGCAUGCUGUCCCUUUUCCACGUGGGAGCAGUUACUUAUGGUAAAUCUGGGAAAUGUGGUUUUUUAU